rnacentral:lncRNA from 1 species
CCUAACCCUGCUGGUUCUCAGCAAGUCUGGGAGAGGCCAGGGCUGGAGGGACGCCCCCAGCAGGUGCACCAUCCCAUUCAAUCCUCCUCCUCGCUGCUCAGUGAUGGGAGGCCCUGGCAGGGUGGGUGGGGUCAGAGGGAUUAGGAUGCAGCGGGGGGCGAUGCCAAUUCAGUCUGAGGAUCCUGGCACCCCAAUGCUCCUCUCUCACAGUCUCCAAGUCCACUGACUGUCAGGGGUUUAUUCAAGGUUUCCCGGGCCUCCAAGAGCAGCUACAGGCCAAGCUGCCCACUUCCCCACCUGUGAAGCAGACCCCCAAACCCAGGGAGGGGUGUGAAGGAAGGAGGCCGGAGGGUCCCCAGGGUCUCAAGCAGGGCAGGGCCUGCCCUCCUUCCCGGCUGGAGCCUCCAGGACCGCCCGGCCCAGCGCCUGCCCCGUCUGAGUGUCCCCGUGAAGAGGGGAGCUGGCAGAUAGAGAGAACACAGGUUCAAAUCCUGCCCUGGUCCUCCACAGUCCAGGGGCCUUGGGCAGGUGAUCCUCUCCCAGCCUCUGCCCCCAUGUAAAGUGGAGGGAACAAGCCUACGUCCUAAGGGUUAAAUGAGACAAUGUAGGGAAGUUCCUCAGAUGGGCCCAGACGACUCAGGGACCCAGUAAAUGACGAGUAUUAUGACGAUUCCUGCACCCUGCCCAGCCACCAGACCCCGCCUCCAGCAGGGAGUGGGGGUGGGGAGGGCUGGGAGCAGGGCAGGGCUGAGGACCAGUGAGCAGCCAAGGGAAGGCCACAGGUCAGAAGCCCAUGAUCUGGGGAGGGAGAGGGGAAGCCCCUGCCCCUCGGAUUCCCACCUGCCCUCUCCAGUAGGUGAGACCUGUUGGCAACGGAUCAUUCAGACAUAUUCAGAUAUAUGGGCUUCCCUGGUGGUUCAGUUGGUAAAGAAUCUGCCUGCAAUGCAGGAGACCCGGGUUCAAUCCCUGGGUCGCAAAGAUCUCCUGGAGAAGGGAAUGGCAACCCACUCUAGUAUUCUUGCCUGGAGAAUCCCUUGGACAGAGGAGCCUGGCAGGCUAUAG